rnacentral:rRNA from 1 species
GAUGAACGCUGGCGGCGUGCCUAAUACAUGCAAGUCGAGCGAACGGACGAGAAGCUUGCUUCUCUGAUGUUAGCGGCGGACGGGUGAGUAACACGUGGAUAACCUACCUAUAAGACUGGGAUAACUUCGGGAAACCGUAGCUAAUACCGGAUAAUAUUUUGAACCGCAUGGUUCAAAAGUGAAAGACGGUCUUGCUGUCACUUAUCGAUGGAUCCGCGCUGCAUUAGCUAGUCGGUAAGGUAACGGCUUACCAAGGCAACGAUGCAUAGCCGACCUGAGAGGGUGAUCGGCCACACUGGAACUGAGACACGGUCCAGACUCCUACGGGAGGCAGCAGUAGGGAAUCUUCCGCAAUGGGCGAAAGCCUGACGGAGCAACGCCGCGUGAGUGAUGAAGGUCUUCGGAUCGUAAAACUCUGUUAUUAGGGAAGAACAUAUGUGUAAGUAACUGUGCACAUCUUGACGGUACCUAAUCAGAAAGCCACGGCUAACUACGUG